GUACGUGCAGAUUUAUUUAAGGGGGGAUCAUUACAGAGUUGCAGAAAUUUUAAAAAUUUUUGUGAACCCCGCCCGUGAGGAUACCUCGGCGCUGGCUGCCCAGAAAGGCCACUAAAUCCUCCCUGCUUCCCGAAUCUUAUAUUUGCGGGGGUCUACCCCCCAAAAAAUCUGAAUCGGCCUUUUAAAAUUCCCCGCCCCCCUAAAUAUAUUUUUAAAUAAGUCAAAACUUUCAACAACGGAUCUCUUGGUUCUGGCAUCGAUGAAGAACGCAGCGAAAUGCGAUAAGUAAUGUGAAUUGCAGAAUUCAGUGAAUCAUCGAAUCUUUGAACGCACAUUGCGCUCGCCAGUAUUCUGGCGAGCAUGCCUGUUCGAGCGUCAUUUCAACCAUCAAGCUCUGCUUGCGUUGGGGAUCCGCGGCUGUCCGCGGUCCCUCAAAAUCAGUGGCGGGCUCGCUAGUCACACCGAGCGUAGUAACUCUACAUCGCUAUGGUCGUGCGGCGGGUUCUUGCCGUAAAACCCCCCAUUUCUAAGGUUGACCUCGGAUCAGGUAGGAAUACCCGCUGAACU
rnacentral:rRNA from 1 species